CCUACGGGAGGCAGCAGUGGGGAAUUUUGGACAAUGGGCGCAAGCCUGAUCCAGCAAUGCCGCGUGCAGGAUGAAGGCCUUCGGGUUGUAAACUGCUUUUGUACGGAACGAAACGGUCUGCUCUAAUACAGUGGGCUAAUGACGGUACCGUAAGAAUAAGCACCGGCUAACUACGUGCCAGCAGCCGCGGUAAUACGUAGGGUGCGAGCGUUAAUCGGAAUUACUGGGCGUAAAGCGUGCGCAGGCGGUUAUAUAAGACAGAUGUGAAAUCCCCGGGCUCAACCUGGGACCUGCAUUUGUGACUGUAUAGCUAGAGUGCGGCAGAGGGGGAUGGAAUUCCGCGUGUAGCAGUGAAAUGCGUAGAUAUGCGGAGGAACACCGAUGGCGAAGGCAAUCCCCUGGGCCUGCACUGACGCUCAUGCACGAAACGACGGUGGGGAGGACGAAACAAGGAGUAGUAUACCUACGGUAGUACCGACCGACCCGUAACCG
rnacentral:rRNA from 1 species